rnacentral:miRNA from 1 species
AAACGUGCUGGCCUGCGCGCCA